UGCAGUCGACGGUACAGGAGAGAGCUUGCUCUCUUGCUGACGAGUGGGGACGGGUGAGUAAUGCAUAGGAAUCUGCCCAGUAGUGGGGGACAACUCGGGGAAACUCGAGCUAAUACCGCAUACGCCCUACGGGGGAAAGCGGGGGAUCUUCGGACCUCGCGCUAUUGGAUGAGCCUAUGUCAGAUUAGCUUGUUGGUAGGGUAAAGGCCUACCAAGGCUACGAUCUGUAGCUGGUCUGAGAGGACGAUCAGCCACACUGGGACUGAGACACGGCCCAGACUCCUACGGGAGGCAGCAGUGGGGAAUAUUGGACAAUGGGGGCAACCCUGAUCCAGCAAUGCCGCGUGUGUGAAGAAGGCCUGCGGGGUUGUAAAGCACUUUCUGUGGGGAGGAAAAGCUCAAGGUUAAUACCCUUGAGUCUUGACGUUACCCACAGAAGAAGCACCGGCUAACUCCCGUGCCAGCAGCCGCGGUAAUACGGAGGGGUGCAAGCGUUUAUUCGGGAAUCACUGGGCGUAAAGGGCGCGUAGGCGGUUAAAUAAGUCGGGUGUGAAAGCCCACAUCUCAACUGUGGAACUGCAUCCAAACUGUUUAACUAGA
rnacentral:rRNA from 1 species